UACGAAGGGGGCUAGCGUUGCUCGGAAUCACUGGGCGUAAAGGGUGCGUAGGCGGGUUUUUAAGUCAGGGGUGAAUCCUGGAGCUCAACUCCAGAACUGCCUUUGAUACUGAAGAUCUUGAGUUCGGGAGAGGUGAGUGGAACUGCGAGUGUAGAGGUGAAAUUCGUAGAUAUUCGCAAGAACACCAGUGGCGAAGGCGGCUCACUGGCCCGAUACUGACGCUGAGGCACGAAAGCGUGGGGAGCAAACAGGG
rnacentral:rRNA from 1 species